GCCUUUUGAAAAGGCAAGGUGGGUGGGUCGAGGAGCAGGCACAGUGGCAGCCUCACCACUCCUCAGUUCAGAUUCCACAGCAGAAGUGCCAAGCCAUGUCACAACUGUGAAGAAGCCGCUCAACAUAGGAGGCAUUCUCAGUUAAUGACAAGACAUGGCAAAAGGACAAGGUCUUUAAGAUACAGAGAACUCAAGGUCUUUAAGAUACAGAGAACUCAAGAGAGAGUUGUGCUGUAGGACAUCAGCACAAAAAGGAAUUGUAACUGCAUUCAUCCAUGAAGCGCAAAAAUCAAUGGAAGUCCAGAGUAUGAUCAAAUGCAACCAGACAUCCUCCAUAUGGCAAAUCUCUCCGAAGCACUGGGUCUUGAUACAAAAAUUUCAAAACACAGUCAUUUGUGAUUAAGAAAUAGGCAAAUAUAUGUCUGAUCUCCAAAGGCAGACUGUCCGCAAGAAUGGGAAUCAAGGAACAUCUAGUAAGAUCCGUUGCUGUUUGUGGUCACUCACUAGGAUUUAAUUAAA